GGGCCCAUAGCUCAGUUGGUCAGAGCCACCGGCUCAUAACCGGGCGGUCCCAGGUUCGAAUCCUGGUGGGCCCACCA
rnacentral:tRNA from 1 species